rnacentral:rRNA from 1 species
CUGCUGCCUUCCGUAGGAGUCUGGUCCGUGUCUCAGUACCAGUGUGGGGGACCUUCCUCUCAGAACCCCUACGCAUCGUCGCCUCGGUGGGCCGUUACCCCGUCGACUAGCUAAUGCGCCGCAUGCCCAUCCCCGCCGGAAUCGCUUCCUUUGGCCGCAGACCCAUGCAGGUCCGCGGCGUUACGCGGUAUUAGUCGGGAUUUCUCCCGGUUAUCCCCCUGCGGGGGCAGGUCGCAUACGUGUUACUCACCCGUGCGCCGGUCGCCGGCA